rnacentral:rRNA from 1 species
CCUACGGGUGGCAGCAGUAGGGAAUUUUGCACAAUGGGGGAAACUCUGAUGCAGCAAUGCCGCGUGAGGGAAGAAGGCUUUCGGUAUGGAAAGCUCCAUCAGCAGGGAAGAAGAUGACGGUACCUGAUUAAGAAUCCCCGGCUAACUACGUGCCAGCAGCCGCGGCAAUACGUAGGAGGCAAGCGUUAUCCGGAUUUACUGGGUGUAAAGGGAGCGCAGACGGCAGUGCAAGUCUGUAGUGAAAGCCCGGGGCCCAACCCCGGAACUGCUCUGGAAACUGUGCGGCUAGAGUACAGGAGGGGCAGGCGGAAUGCAUAGUGUAGCGGUGAAAUGCGUAGAUAUUAGGAGGAACACCAGUGGCGAAGGCGGCCUGCUGAACAAUAACUGACGUUGAGGCUCGAAAGCGUGGGGAGCAAACAGGAUUAGAUACCCCUGUAGUC